CGUUUGAAGCUCCAGGGAUUUGAACAAGUGUAGGGCGGAUGAGACAUUUCUCUCGCCAACAUCCUCUAUAAAUACGUGUCGGGAUCCUCACAACUGAAACCCAAGGCCUCGUUUGGUGAGCUCAGAGUUCUAGCAAGUAGCACAACCCCAUCGGAUCUUCUCUUCCUCGACUAAGCAAGAAGGAAAAUGGGCUGCCGCGAAGAAAACUGUGGCUGUGGCUCCGGCUGCACCUGCGGCCCCAGCUGCGGUUGCUCCGGCUGCAAAUGCUGCAAAUGAAACAGUGUGCCCUUGACGUGGCAGCUAUGGUUUAGCAUGCACGGAAUAAAGAUUUUAAUGUAUCAAGGUUUAUGUUAUGUCUAAAUAAGAUGGCCGUCAGCUUCUGCUAA